GCGGCGUGAUGCCUCACCUCACGUUUAAACGAUCUUUGUCCGGUACAAAGACGCCACAGAACGAACGCGAGAGGCUUCAGUGCUGUGUGUGUGUUAUUUGGAACGGGACUUGAGUGCUACCGGCGAACAAUUGGACAUAUUGAACUCACAGUACAUGCGGGCUUUGUUUUGACCACGCAAAGCGUCAAAUACGUCACUCCUCGUCAGCUCCCGUCUAACGUGCUGGGCUGUCACUCAAACACCAGGACACCGGAAAAGGAGGUGACAACAAGUGACAGGAGCACAGAUUGACAGGAGACACACCUGGAUUAGUUUCGACCAAUGAAUGGCGAUGAAAUCAAGGCGCCAUGGGCUUGGAGCUGGACAAAUGGACUGGGGGCCUUGUCUAAGGUUGUCUGACCUUCUAUCGUUCACCUGAGAACAGCGUCUGUGUUGGAAAACGACAUUUCUCAGGCUUAUCUGAGAAGCAUCUCAGGCUGGACCUUUGAGGACACAAGCCGGGUGUUAAAGGACCGCCAUGGGGGAGACAGCGGAAUACCAAAGACUACAGGAGACCUCGGAAUCUGACUACAACUGUGUACCCAGCGAUGAUGAAGAGAAACUGGGCACUAGCAUGCAGUGUGAGGAAGGUACAGAAUGGCUACUGGAGCUGUUGAUCGAAGUGCAGUUGCAGCAAUACUUCCUGCGAAUCAGAGAUGACCUAAACGUCACACGGUUAUCCCAUUUCGACUAUGUCAAGAAUGAAGACCUUGAGAAGAUUGGUAUGGGUCGACCCGGGCAGAGACGACUGUGGGAGGCUGUGAAGAGGAGGAAAGCAAUGUGCAAGCGCAAGUCCUGGAUGAGCAAGGUUUUUAGCGGCAAACGUUUAGAUGGAGCAGAUUUUUCCCAGCAAGGCCAGCCCGCCUCCUCCUUCCGCAAGAUGUCUCCCAUACCUCCCCUGGGCCUGAUGGAGGGGGUCCUGGCCACGCAGCCCCCUGGAGGUGCACCUCUCGAUGGCCAGCAGCAGGCUCUAACCUGCCUCAUCCCUGAAAAGGACCUGGUGUUGCUUGAGAAGCUGGGGGAUGGAUCUUUCGGUGUCGUGAAGAGAGGAGAGUGGCUGACUCCUGCAGGGAAUAUGAUUAACGUCGCUGUAAAAUGUCUGAAAACAGAUGUGCUCACCCAACCUGAUGCUCUGGAGGACUUCAUCUGUGAGGUCAACGCCAUGCACUCUCUGGACCACCAGAACCUCAUUCGCCUCUACGGUGUGGUGCUCACACACCCAAUGAAAAUGGUGACCGAGCUCGCUCCACUGGGUUCUCUGCUGGAUCGCUUGCGGUGCAUCCGUCCACAGGGCCCGGUGUUGAUCCAUACACUGUGUCAGUAUGCCGUGCAAGUGGCCUGUGGCAUGGCCUAUCUGGAGCACAGGAGGUUUAUCCAUCGAGAUCUAGCGGCCAGGAACAUUCUGUUGGCUUCAGCUCAUAGGGUGAAGAUUGGUGACUUUGGCCUGAUGAGGGCGCUGCCGAACAACCAUGAGCAUUAUGUCAUGCAGGAGCACAGGAAGGUUCCCUUUGCAUGGUGUGCCCCCGAGAGUCUGAAGACUAGAACGUUCUCCCAUGCCACCGACACAUGGAUGUUUGGUGUGACUCUAUGGGAGAUGUUCACGCAUGGCCAAGAGCCUUGGUUAGGCCUUAAUGGCAGCCAGAUCCUGCAUAAGAUUGAUAAAGAAGGUGAACGCCUCCCAAAGCCAGAGGACUGUCCACAGGAUAUCUACAACGUCAUGUUGCAGUGUUGGGCGCAGAAACCAGAUGACAGACCCACGUUUGUGGCUCUGCGAGAGUUCCUGCUUGAGUCCAUGCCGACAGACAUGUGCGCUCUGCAGGACUUUGAUGAGCAGGACAAGCUGCGGAUUCAGGUUGAUGAUGUCAUCACCAUCAUUGAGGGCAGAGCGGAGAACUAUUGGUGGCGUGGUCAGAACACACGUACUCUUAAAGUGGGACAGUUCCCCAGGAACGUGGUGACAUCGGUGGCGGGUUUGUCGGCUCAUGACAUCAGCCGACCUCUGAAGAACAGCUUCAUCCAUACGGGCCAUGGAGAUGCUAACCCUCAUCGCUGCUGGGGCUUUCCAGACAGGAUUGAAGAGUUGUAUCUUGGGAAUCCCAUGGAUCCUCCUGAUGUUCUUGGUUUGGACCUCAGUGCCGCUCGGCCCACUCAGCUACCAGGACGAGCUAAAAAGGAGCCUCCUCCGCGCCCUCCUCAGCCAGCAGUGUUAAUCAAGAGUAAGUCUGCUUUCUCUCAGCAGCUCCUCACCCAUUGCUCCUGCCCUCUCUGUUCCCUUCUAGCUCCACUCUUCAAAGAGCCUUGUUAUGAUCCGGUGAAUGAGGAUGAUGAUGACUUGACAUCUGCAGGAUUGAAGAAGCUGUCACUACAGAAAACCAGCUCUGUCAAAGGCCUCAAACUUAAACCAACAGCAUGGGUCUCCUCCUCCAAACAGGGGAGCGACAAGAACCCUCAUCCUUGCAGCGAAGUGUCCCUCAUUGACUUUGAGGAGGAGUUCUCCCCACCUACGCCUUCCCCGUCAUCCGUGGUCGAAAUCCCAAUCCCGUGUCUGGCAAAGCUAGCUUUGCAAGCGGAGAAUCUCUUGGACAGGACGCCAUCUCAGAGUCCGUCUAAAUCUUUGCCCCGCCCACUCCACCCCACGCCGGUUGUGGACUGGGAUGCUCGACCCUUACCCCCGCCCCCGGCGUAUGAUGAUGUCGCCCAAGAUGAAGACGAUAUGGAGGUGAGUUCCAUCAACAGCACGGAACAGCAUCACGAUGAAGAGCCAACUGAUGUCCCCAACCCAGAAGCCAGUGUUUCCACAGUUCCAGACAAACAAGGCCUGGAGGAUAACCUCUUUCUCCGCAGCAAUCCCAGCCAGGUCCUCACUACCUCAUUCUGCCAGUCUGCAGAAAUAUUCCACGAACUGCAGCAAGAGUGCAUGAAGAGGCUCAAUGUGCCGACAUCUGCCUCGUGUCUGCAGACACCCCACCACCAUGGACACCCCUCGUCCACCGAGGAUAAACCCCAGAUCCCCCCUCGUGUUCCUAUUCCCCCUCGCCCAAUUAAAAAAGGCGACUACUCAUCUCCUCGUUGGUCGAGAGACCUCUCCCUGUCUCCGACCCCAGCUGACGUCACAGAAGACAUUUCAAGCUCAGAACAGGAUCGGCCACCGCAGAUCCCUCCCAGGGAACCGUUGUCACAACCCGGCUCCAGGACCCCCAGCCCCUUGGGUCUAGUAGUGGGCUCCCCGCAGCAGAGAGUGUACUCCGUCAGCCCCACAACCACACAAGUUCCUCUCAACACUUGCCCCUCCACACACACCUACAGCUCCUACCUCUCUACCUCUCCGAGUAAAUUCAUGCCGACCACACACAGCUUCGCGUCUGAUCCCAAAUAUACGGCACCCAAAGUGAUUCAAGCACAGGGGAAGGAAUUAUCGAACAAGGGCCCCUGCAUCCUACCUAUAGUCCGUGAUGGACGUAAAGUCAGUAACACUCACUAUUACCUUCUGCCAGAGAGGCCGCCCUACCUCGACCGAUACGAUCGCUUCUUCAGGGAGGCUGAGAGCUUGAGUGGAAACAGUGUGGAUGACAGGCACACACGUCAACCUAACACUGCUACCGUUCGACCCCUGGUGCUCAGCAGCCAGACUUGGCAGGGGCAUGGCCAAGGAGAGGCCGUUGUCCCACUGGGAGAGCUGAAGGCUAAUUUCUCCUCUAACAAUAGCAGCAGUCUUGGACUACGGACAGGAAUGAAGACAUCAGUUAGUCUCUCCGGUAUCAGCGGGGAGAGUUUGACAGCACCAGCAGGCACUGCAACCUGUCCCAGGACGGACGGAUUGGGAAACCCAGCUGACAGAGUCAGAAUGGUGCAGGAAGCAGUUCACGGUGUGACGAUAGAAGAGUGCCGAGCAGCACUGCAGAACCACAACUGGAAUGUUCAGAAAGCUGUGCAUUACCUGAAGGUGGAGCAGUUGUUCUGUUUGGGUCUGAGGAGCAGGUCGGAGUGUCUAAAGCUGCUGGAGAUGUGUGACUGGAACCUAGAGGAAGCCAGUACGCAGAUGUUGGAUAAUUAUGGCUCUACAACGCAACAGAGACGGUGACAGACAUCUCAGGCUGCAGAGUCCUGAUUGGAACUUCAUCCUCAAUAAAACAUGGCCGACGCUGAUCCUGUGUGACCCCUCAGUCACAAGACUGUUAGAGCCUCAUUGUACAAGAAGUACGUCCAUUUGGUUAUUAAUAGGAGCGAAGGCACCGGAUGCUGAGACCCCUGCACAGAAAAGUAGUAAGUCAAAGUGUUAUUUCAGAACAUGAUACACAAAAGUUAUACUUUGAAUUUUCAAUGCGUCCUGACAAUUAAUUUGUAACCAAAAAUGCAGUAAUGCAUAUGAAUGUUGCCCCCAUGGCUUCACUGCCUCUGCAGACUAUAUUUUUGAUUUUAUUCUUUAAAUAUAUAUAUAGCAUAGUGGCUUGUUGUGGCGCCUGAAUAGCACAUGGUCACACACUGCUGUGGGAUGGCAUUCCAGCUGUCAACCAUGAGUCAUCCAGUGUAGUUUUAUUGGUCACUCCUGCAUGGAGAGCGUGCCCAAACUCACCCCAAGUGUACGGUUAGAUUGCGGGAGUGUCAAAACUGAGAGAUAAUCUACAAAUUUACAAAAUUAGUAUAUUGGGGGUGUCCCAAGUGUAGCGCUUGACUUGUUUUUUGUAAUACAAAAAAAAAACGCUUGGUGGUUCCAAAAUAUCCAAAAUAUUUAAAACCAUACUUACGUAUUUUGGGCCUAAAGUAAACAUUUUUAAAUGACCUACAAAUACAAAAAUGUGAUGAAGUAUAGUACUAAGGAAUCAUACAUCAUAAAUCACCGACCAUGUUCUCAUACAUUAAUAAACUUGUAAUAUUAUUUGGGAAUUAAAAUUAGACAAAUGACAAAGUUGGAAAAUUUUCAAAAAAAAAUUAGGUUAGUAUAAGAGAGUCAUAAACAUUACGGAAAAUUCUGUACAGGCGUUUAUAACAGUUAAUUGUUUCCAGACCCAAACACAAUGAAUACGAUUCAUUGUCAAUAAAUGUAAUAUUUUGGUAGAGCAUAAAAAUUUUAAAUACUUUUUUUAACUUUAGACAUGAAAUUACACUCUUAUAGUCAUCUUUACUCACACCUUAUCAUUAUUUUAGCUUCAAAUGUAUUUAUUGAAAAAUGAAGCCAAAAAUUUACCACUUCCACACGGAAUGGGAGGAGAACAUAAGGUAAUGUGUCAAUGUUCUGUGUCAUUACUUCCACUUUGUGACCAGAAUGCUACAGAUCACUUGAAUUUCAAUAUGUUUUGAUUAAAAAUAGCCUACAAAAUAGUGAUAAAAAAAAGCCAUCUAUAUAGCGAGGGAGCGAUCAUCGAACCGCAAUAUUUCGAGGGUGAGGAUGACCCAGCAAAAAUGGAAAAACUACUAAAUUGUACCAAAACCCAAAACUUUCCGGAUCUCAAGGAAAUUGACAUAAAUAUGGAAUGAAACAUUGGUGUGGGGAAGUAUUUCCCCGGCGGACCGCUCCCAAACACUAGCCUGCCCCCUCGGCGUUUAUUAUAUUAUAUUAUAUUAUAAAGACGAGACAACACAUUACAAAAGUUUGCCAAGCCACAAUAAUAUAUAAGUGUUGUGAUUUUUGCAGGUUUUUUUCCCAAAAAACAGACUUCUAAAAACUGAAAACAUGAAAAAUAGAAUUUGCGGAUUUCACAGGGAUCUACGUAUAUAACAAAGCUGUUUUUUUCCUGGCAUAUCUACAUGCUUUAAGUCCGAUAUCAAAGUGGUCCCUGCAUCCUUUAUGCAUGUACUAUGCGGUCCUUUGUGGGGAAAAAAACUCCAGCCCCUCAAUGAGUAUCCACAUAUAUAACCAAUGAAAGCCAAGAUUUAGACCUUUUUUUUCAAAGAGAAAUAGAAAUAAAAAAGACAUUCCAGAAUAAUUUUCAGUGGUCAACACAACUUUAGAACAGUAUGCAUGUUUUUUUUAUUUUUAUUUUAAAUAUGCAUUUCUAUGCUUCAACCAUCUACUAUUUACUAUAUCUACUAUACGAGCGUGCUGACUUAGUGGGCGUAUUCUGGGUGACAACUGUCACUCAUGUUCUCUCAUGUGCAAUAAGACCGCUGUCGGUAACGGUAAGCUCCCGCUGUGAGCAUCAAGAGUCAAGUCUUCAUGGAGAAUAGAUGAUUGACAGAUGCACGGGGGGGGGGAUAGUGGGUAACAUUUUCAGUAGCUUAGCGUUUGGCGUGAUGACUUUGUCCGUGUGUUGUUGCUGUUUGUCUUGAACCAAGCUGCUGUAGACAUGUUAGAGGACUGAAGUGAACUUUGUUGUGUCCCAUAAUUUACAAUUGGUCCCUUUUUUUUUUUUUUUUUUUACAUAUAUAUAUAUUUUUGGCUGUUUUUUUUUCUUUCUUUGUGUAUGUGCCUCCUUAGUUGUUUUGGUUUCUCCUCUUCUGGGUUGAUUGAAAUCAUCAUGAGAAGUUAAUGCUGCCGGAUUUAUAAAUGUAUUUUUUACUAAAUUAUUUUUCACCUCUUUUCCCUGUUUAUGAUUCAUUUUUUCCCCUUCAUUUUCAUCUUUGCAGCUUAAUUGGGAUGUUGCACUGCCUGGAUUGUUUUUUUUUAGCAUCCCUCCUGUUCCGCUGCUCCAUUUGACUCGUUAUUGACAACUUACAGAGUCUAAUUAACAGGGUUUGGGCAGCUUGAAGCAUACAGGUGUGCAUUUGACACUGAAGAAUUACAUUUCAUUUUAGUGGGUGUCAAAACAUUUCAAUUAAGGUUAUGUCAAAAUAAUUGUGGUGGGGGGGUAGGGGAGUGGGAACAGGAAAUUAAUUAAACAGUUUCAUGAAUUCAAAGCUUUGAAUUGGACUGUAGUGGCUGGAAAAGUACGAUUGGCCGGUCGGCCAGUCCCGCCUCUCGUCCGAAGUCAGCUGGGAUAGGCUCCAGCAUACCCUUACUACCCUUGUGAGGUAUAAAGAUGGAUGGAUGGGCUGUAAAAGUGUGGCGUUAGACCAUUCGGAAAGAAGAAACAAAAACAUUUUAAAACCUGAAGUGAUUUUGAGGCCUACGGUUAACCACUCGUAUGUAUGGGAUCUGGGGACCAGCAUACCAGCAAAACCAGCAUAUGUUGUUUUUUCGUGCUGGUAUACUGGUCACCAGGCCAGCUAACGUGUGAAACUGUAAUAGUUGCGUGCUGGCAUACUGGUCUGGAGACUAGCAUACCAGCACGAAAACACAACGUAUGCUGGUU